UCGAGGAUCUUUGGCAAUGGGCGCAAGCCUGACCAAGCGACGCCGCGUGUGCGAUGAAGGCCUUCGGGUUGUAAAGCACUGUCGAGGGGGAUCAAGGCGCAAGCUUGAGAGAUCCCUGGAGGAAGCACGGGCUAAGUUCGUGCCAGCAGCCGCGGUAAGACGAACCGUGCGAACGUUGUUCGGAAUCACUGGGCUUAAAGGGCGCGUAGGCGGCUCAUCAAGUCGGGGGUGAAAUACUUCAGCUUAACUGGAGAAGUGCCUUCGAUACUGGUGGGCUUGAGGGAGGUAGGGGUCUGUGGAACUUCUGGUGGAGCGGUGAAAUGCGUUGAUAUCAGAAGGAACGCCGGUGGCGAAAGCGACGGACUGGACCUCUUCUGACGCUGAGGCGCGAAAGCUAGGGGAGCAAACGGGAUUAGAUACCCCCGUAGUCC
rnacentral:rRNA from 1 species